GCAACUACUUUAUACAUUAUCAUCUAUAUAUAUUCUUAAAUUGUAUGUAUAAUUUAUUUCUCACGCAUUAUCCCACCAUCUUUCUUCUUGGUUCCUUGUUGUGUGCUUCUGUCAACAAGCAGAGUGUCUCUUUUUAUUUAAUCAUCACCGUCUCUUCUUGUAUUAAGGUAUAUAUUUCUUCCUGUACCACGUAGUGCUAAUUCUUCUAGUUCUUAAUUUUUGCUGCUAAUUUAUUUUUGGUUAAAAAACCCCAUUUUUUAUAUUUGCCUCAAGCCCUUGUAGACCUUCACACGGCACUGCUCCCUCACGAAGCCUUUUAUUUCUCUCCUGCCCAUGAUUCUGGUGUAUGAUAUUUGCAUUCAUGUUAAUUCCCGAUUUUGUAGAAAUACGUUAAUUUUAGGUUAGUACAUAGUACUCAAAUAUUUACACGGAUUAGUUUCAAACUCAAGAGUUCUGAGAAACUAUAAUAUACGGAGGAUAUUGAAUUUUCAAAUAAUGUGAAACAUUAAAUACAGUUAAUUCAAUUGUGUAGACCGGACAAUGAUCAUAAGACGGGGGAAAGGAUGACGUGGGAACUCAAAAUGUCAAGAAGAAAUGAAUGAAGGCAAAGCUGUCUUCGUUAUUAGGUCUCUAUCAAAGAGCAAGUUGGGGUUCUAUCCAGCCACAUCAAAUGUUCCAAUUAAUGUACACAUCAUUAGAUUUUAGCCCCACCAUCUAUAUAUCAUGUAUAUGUAUCUUUUUCUGAUAAACUGGGUAUCCGGCGGGGGGAAAGCUCAACUAAUUUACUCCGGGGGAUUUGUCCAUCAGUGUCAGACAGACCUGGUUACUCGUGCAAUGGGAAUUAGAUGGUUAUAUGUAUCUUUUUAAGUUCUCAAUUCUAAAAAUAAAAACAUAAACUGAACAUUAAAGUUUUUGCUAGACAAACAAUGUUAGUGUUAUGUCAGAAUUUUUUUAACGUAUAACUUAUGAAAU
rnacentral:lncRNA from 1 species